UGAAGGAUCAUGUGCACACGUGUGUACACUAACCUGCUAAUGAUAUUGUGGGCGGUGUAAGCUUGCAUUACAAUAAUAUUACAUGUGCCCUGGGCUGUGUGACUUGUUUUGCAAACAUUCGUUAUGCAUUGCAUAAACAAGUUUGGUAAACUGAGUGGUGCUGUGUUUGUGUACGAUGAUUAGGUUUUGCAACGAAUGUUUUAGUUCAAUACAUGAUGAAUAAUGCAGGACAAUGCAGUAUGCAUUGUGAAUUGCAGAAUUCCGUGAGCUAACAGAUGUUUGAAUGUUACUUGUGCCUUUGGGAUAUUCUUGAAGGUUUGCUUGAUUCAAUGCCAAUUACCUUCCAUAUGCAAUACUGCUGUUUAGCAUUGCUGUGAACAAAGAGAGUCAAUGUGUAUUGCAUUGAACCUGGAUGUGUUGCAGCUGCUUUGCAACCUAAACAUGGUUGAUUGGGGGCAAACUUGUUUCGUCAUGUGCUGGUUGCUGUUUUGUAAAAUGUGAACAACUGAGACAAGCUGAAGACUUGCAUAUGCUUAGCAUGAAGUGAAGCACAUACACCUGCUGAAUUUAAGCAUAUAAGUAAGUGGUGGAAAUUAAAC
rnacentral:rRNA from 1 species